CAGAGCAGGGCGAGCAGCGCCCACUCCCAGCGGUCAUACAGGAAUUACAGCUUUGGGCCCUGUCCUUGGGGUUCAAGCUACCACUUUGCUUAUGAUAUGAAGGUGACCCAGGUCUGCAGGUUCUUCCAUCAAGGCUUCUGCUUCUACGGGGAUCGUUGCAGAUAUCAGCACCCGCAGCAGCCCCCCUACCCUCUGGGCUGGAAUCACUAUGGCUCAGAGCCACAGCUGGCCGUGCUG